rnacentral:ncRNA from 2 species
UCGCCCUUCGAGCUUCGGGGUGCCCGCGCCAGUCGCGGGAGAAUCGGGAAAGCGGCGCAACUCCGCUGCGCGCCCAGCGCCGUUAUGGGGAUUGUCCGGGCAUGGUUUGCCCAGCCACUGGUCCGCAAGGAUCGGGAAGGCGCCCGGACGAGAUGAUCCACAGCCGGAAGACCGGCCCCGAAGCGUAUCAAGCA